GAGUGUAUAGCUCAGUGGUAGAAUGCCUGCUUAGCAUGCAAGAGGUCCUGGGUUCAACCCCCAGUACCUCCA
rnacentral:tRNA from 1 species